rnacentral:rRNA from 1 species
ACCCGCUGAACUUAAGCAUAUCAAUAAGCGGAGGAAAAGAAACCAACAGGGAUUGCCUCAGUAACGGCGAGUGAAGCGGCAACAGCUCAAAUUUGAAAUCUGGCCUUACGGUCCGAGUUGUAAUUUGUAGAGGAUGUUUUGGGUACCGCCGCGGUUUAAAUUUCUUGGAACAGAAUGUCAAAGAGGGUGAGAGUCCCGUCUUGGAUCGCGGUAGGGCCUGUGUAAAACUCCUUCGACGAGUCGACUUGUUUGGGAAUGCAGGUCAAAAUGGGUGGUAAAUUUCAUCUAAAGCUAAAUAUUGGCCAGAGACCGAUAGCGCACAAGUAGAGUGAUCGAAAGAUGAAAAGCACUUUGAAAAGAGAGUUAAACAGUAUGUGAAAUUGUUGAAAGGGAAGCGCUGGCAACCAGACUCGUGCGCGGGGUUCCCCCUUGCUUCUGCUUGGGUCACUUCCCCGUGUCCGGGCCAUCAUCAGUUUCGGGGGCCGGUUAAAGGCUCUGGGAAUGUAUCUACUCCUUCGGGGGUAGACUUAUAGCCCAGGGUGUCAUGCGGCCACUCGGGACUGAGGAACGCGCUUCGGCGAGGAUGAUGGCGUAAUGGUUGUCAGCGACCCGUCUUGAAACACGG